rnacentral:rRNA from 1 species
AUUGAACGCUGGCGGCAUGCCUUACACAUGCAAGUCGAACGGCAGCACGGGUGCUUGCCCCUGGUGGCGAGUGGCGAACGGGUGAGUAAUACAUCGGAGCAUGUCCUGUAGUGGGGGAUAGCCCGGCGAAAGCCGGAUUAAUACCGCAUACGAUCUACGGAUGAAAGCGGGGGACCUUCGGGCCUCGCGCUAUAGGGUUGGCCGAUGGCUGAUUAGCUAGUUGGUGGGGUAAAGGCCUACCAAGGCGACGAUCAGUAGCUGGUCUGAGAGGACGACCAGCCACACUGGGACUGAGACACGGCCCAGACUCCUACGGGAGGCAGCAGUGGGGAAUUUUGGACAAUGGGCGAAAGCCUGAUCCAGCAAUGCCGCGUGUGUGAAGAAGGCCUUCGGGUUGUAAAGCACUUUUGUCCGGAAAGAAAUCCUUGGCCCUAAUACGGUCGGGGGAUGACGGUACCGGAAGAAUAAGCACCGGCUAACUACGUG